rnacentral:rRNA from 1 species
GUGGGGAAUUUUGGACAAUGGGCGAAAGCCUGAUCCAGCCAUGCCGCGUGCAGGAUGAAGGCCUUCGGGUUGUAAACUGCUUUUGUACGGAACGAAAAGACUCCUUCUAAUAAAGGGGGUCCAUGACGGUACCGUAAGAAUAAGCACCGGCUAACUACGUGCCAGCAGCCGCGGUAAUACGUAGGGUGCAAGCGUUAAUCGGAAUUACUGGGCGUAAAGCGUGCGCAGGCGGUUAUAUAAGACAGAUGUGAAAUCCCCGGGCUCAACCUGGGAACUGCAUUUGUGACUGUAUAGCUAGAGUACGGUAGAGGGGGAUGGAAUUCUGCGUGUAGCAGUGAAAUGCGUAGAUAUGCGGAGGAACACCGAUGGCGAAGGCAAUCCCCUGGACCUGUACUGACGCUCAUGCACGAAAGCGUGGGGAGCAAACAGGAUUAGAAACCCCAGUAGUCC